AACGAACGCUGGCGGCAUGCCUAACACAUGCAAGUCGAACGAAGCCUUCGGGCUUAGUGGCGCACGGGUGCGUAACGCGUGGGAAUCUGCCCUUGGGUACGGAAUAACAGUGAGAAAUUACUGCUAAUACCGUAUGAUGUCUUCGGACCAAAGAUUUAUCGCCCAGGGAUGAGCCCGCGUAGGAUUAGCUAGUUGGUGAGGUAAAGGCUCACCAAGGCUACGAUCCUUAGCUGGUCUGAGAGGAUGAUCAGCCACACUGGGACUGAGACGCGGCCCAGACUCCUACGGGAGGCAGCAGUGGGGAAUAUUGGACAAUGGGCGAAAGCCUGAUCCAGCAAUGCCGCGUGAGUGAAGAAGGCCUCGG
rnacentral:rRNA from 1 species